GGACACACAAACCCGGCUACCAGGACACACAAACCUGGCUGGCAUUGCAGUUUGAGUCCUGAUGAGCUGUGCAACCUUGAGAAAGGCUGACAAGGAUACCUGAGGAAUCCACAAGAGGAGUCAGAAUCCAGAAGCACAGAAGCCUAACUACUCCAGCCAACACACACCCAGCUGAUGAGUGAGCUGUCCUGGGUGGUGUCUGUGUCAGCUGCAGGGGGUUUCUACGAUCUACUUCUACUCUCUCCUUACAAACACACCUGAAGUCCUGGUCUGUGAGAACACACUUCUAUCUUUUCUUUGGGACUGCUACCUACAAGGGGACUUCAGGGACUUCUUGCUCCCUCAAAUAACCAAAUGGAUGGAAGGGGAAGAUUAAUCAUCCUCACCAUGUUCUUUUUCAAUCAGGAAAAGGCUACAAACCUAAAAACUCUGCCAAGUGAAUGGACUAAGGACUCACGGCUAUUACCCAUUUUGCUCCCUAUCCUAAUUCCCCUUGUAAUAAGUUCCCUUCCACUAUCCAUGGGACCUAUAGUUCUACAACAAUUCUCCUAGUUCCUCUACACGACCAUCCAGUGACUCAUGAGUGGGUAACUGAAAUUCUGAUGAUGAGAGACGCCUGUUAUCAUCUCCAGCCUCAAGGACCACAGUGACAAGGAAACCCCUCAGGUCAUUAGCCUCUCAUCACCCCUUUGUCAGCAGGAGGACAUUAAAGAAGAUGGACCUUCAUCUAUAUACCCAGUCUGCGGGUCUCCCUAAUAACAGUCAACUCACAUCCUUUCUUUUUUACCAAACAUGGAAGGGAGGAAUAUUGGGUCUGGGGAGGACUACUUAAGAUGGCGCCACUCAAAGAUACUCAAAAUGGUGGCGCCUGCCCUGCGGGACUUUCCCAUAAAGUAAAAAGAUAAACUCAUAACAGCAACAGAUCUCCAUGCCAUUGGUCCCCUCUGAAACCCUUCUUUACAUACUAAGAGAACCAAUAAUUGCAAACCUAAAAACCACCUGGUUAACGUAAGGCGUCAACAACUGCCAGUGGACUUUUCAUUUAAUUCCUCAUCAAUAUAAGCUAUGGCCAAUCAAAACAACACAGCUCACCACAAGAAGAGACAUAAGCCCAACCCCUGGGGGAGAGGUCAGGCUACGUUCUGUACCUAUGUCUCUGCCAUACCACCUGUGCCAAUAAACUCCUUCUAGCCUGA